AGGAAGGGGCAAUUCCCACCAACUCCUGGUGGAUCAGGUCUCCUGAUCCCAAGACAGGACUCUGCCCCUCACUCACAUGGGGGCUGCCAGGGGGCCCUGGCAGUUCAAACCACGUGUGCAACAGCCACGUGCUGGGGACACAGCGACAAACCCAACCAACCAACCAACCAACCAACCAGCCAACGCUGGGAGAAGUUUCCUCACAUGCCUUACUGCACCUGGAUUGAUGGCGGUUCUCCUGGUGACACUCGGAGCUCACUGAGCUGGCUUCCCCGUUGGAUCAUCCUCCGCAGCCAUGAAGACCCACAUGGAGCUUUUCCUGGAAGGACCCGUCACCUCACUGGCAUUAAAGAGACAAAACCCAAACACCAUUCAGAUUGAGGUCAUAAGUGCCGGUCCAGCAAACAACCCACAAACACAGACGUAGAACGGAAUCCGUUUUCCUGCCUUGAAUAUGUGUUUGUGGACUCAGAAAGGAAGUUGUUUUCCUCCUGAAGUUAUGUAUGCUA